UUUGGACUAUUUUGUGUAUGUCUAUUACAUGAAAUACAAAUAAAAAUCCAUUUAAAUUACAGGUUGUAACAAAAUAGGAAAACCCAAGGAGGAUGAAAACUUUUGUAUCUGCUGUUAAAUCAGUGACUGAAUCAGACAUGAUGAAGAUUAAUUUGUAAUACUACGGUAAUAUCCUCCUCACUGUAGCGAUACUACGGCUCUCGACCCCGAGAUCUGUGGUGGUCUAAAGACCAGUGCAUUAUGUAUGUCACCAUCCACCCCAAUACCCCAGAGCACUUUUGAUGCACUUCGACAAGUUCAUCACCAAAAUGUAUCUCACUAUUGUCUAUACACUGCAACUCAAUAUUGUUACUUCCUAAUACCUGAUCCUAUUUGGCAAUUCAUUUUCAUAACUGAUGUUGUAACUGAGUAAUUGAACAGUAAUAAUAACAAUGACGAUCAAAAUUCCUGAGCCCCUAAUACACUUUUUGUAAAUGCAUUACUAUUCAAUUCCAAACUGCACUCAGUGUCAGUAGAAGUUAGGAUUGAUCUAUUGGUUGAUUGGUUAUUUCCAUCAAUGCAUCAGUGUCUACCAUCAUGGGUGCUACUAUGCUGUUCUGUAGGUACUCUGGUUGUGGGCUGGUGGUUCCUGAGAAGCUACAAGGCUGUAAUGUGCUGGAUCUGGACAGUGACUCUGACAGAUACCGCUUCAUCCUCAUUUAGCUAGUGAGUCUCAGUACUGACAGGACAGCAGAACUGGGCUAGAUGCUGAAACUGGAUGGGACAGGCAUACAGAAUGGCUCCCUGGAUGUCCUGGUGUAAAGCUGUUCCUUCGUUCUGCACCCUCGGGCGUGCUUUCUGCUGGGGAUCUAUUUGAGUGUCUUACUGAAGCAGAUCACAAACAACACACAUCCAGUGACACUCCCUCCUCUCCAUCUCCUUUCAGCUAAUAGUCAAACUGUGCCAUGUGUCUGUAUCCUGACAAAAAGGCUGUUCUCAGGGAGGCCUUCAGAGUGCUCGAGGAGAAGGUUUAAGUGGUGCCCUCUACUGGCGAGACCUGAUCUUUCUAGUACCCGAGGUGGGCUUCAGUACUCCAUACCUGAUCACAGUUUUGCCUCUGAAGGGCUGUAUUUGGGGUUCCUGCUUGAUUCCUACAGACAGACAUAGAGGUCAAAGUGCGUUUUGACCUCUAAGAGCAGUGGACUAGUAACCGGAAGGUUGCAAGUUCAAAUCCCCGAGCUGACAAGGUACAAAUCUGUCGUUCUUCCCCUGAACAGGCAGUUAACCCACUGUUCCUGGGCCAUCAUUGAAAAUAAGAAUUUGUUCUUAACUGACUUGCCUAGUUAAAAAAAAAAGUGGAUGCAGAAAUGGCAGCCAUGCUUCAGCAUUCCCGAUUCUCCUGACUUCUCCAUCCAAAGCUCAGGCAAAACUGCACCAAGACCUAAAUGUGGCCCCCAGGUAAACACUCUAGUAUCUCACCUGAGGGGCUAUCCAAAAACUAUCAUGCAUUUGUAUAUUUUUCCACCACGCUACAUAUAUGUGUUAUGUUAUCUGAUACAUUGCAUAUAGAGAAAGACAAAGCAAUUCUAGUCAGAAAUUCUUAUCAGUGUAAUU